UGGCUCCAGUUUGUUUUUUCUGCCUGGGUGCCUGGCACGUUUUUUUCUGCCUGCCUUCUUCACGGUGUGCGGACUCCACUUUUCUGCCUGCCUUUUUCCCCCCUUCGCUAUACUAUUCCAUUCCGCAUCCGACCAACACGCAAAGCUGCUUCUCUCAGUUCGUCGUCAACCCUAGAUCCCCAAUCUCUAUCCUUCUCCUACCUUCAAUGUCGCCUAGCGGCGCUGCCAUAGAUCCCGGUGAGGGGAACCCGAGCAGAAUCCACGCUCGAAGGAUUCAGACUAGUGGUUUCUUGUUUCUGGCGAAGUGGUCCAAUUCCAAUCGGCUGCCAGUACGGUGCUGGACCGGCAUGUGGCGCUGCCUUCCUGGGCAGGUCCGCAGGUGGGGUCUCCACUGUCUAGGAGCUUCAACAUUUACUCGCCUCACUCCUCACUAACCUUUCAUUUCCGAUUUGUAUGUGUUUACUUACUGAUUUAUCCUUCUUCUGCUGGAUCUGGUAUUCCAGGUUCAUUUUUUGUUCUAUAUGUUUAAUAGCUGUUUUUAGGGUUCUGUUCUUGUUCAUUACAUUCAGAUAGUUCUGACGUUAUGUACUGUGUUUUUCUCCAUGGAUUUAUGUCAUCUCAGUAUAAUGAAUCCCUAUUUUGCCAAUAGUAGCUAGCUCGCAUGUAUUCGUUUUGCUUGUAACCAAUGUACAUCUAAUUUAAAUAAUUUCCCAUCACAUUAUGAUCUUAACCACCCGUUUGUAACAUAAUGCCAUCUUACCCUUAAUGUAAAAUCUAGUACAUGGCUUCUAAACUUUUACAUUUGUUUGAUGUAAACUUUAUUCUAGCUAGGUGCUUAUAUUAUUUUUCCUAUCCUUUUUUUUUCUCCAUAACAUGUCCUAACAUGGAUGUGUAGCAAAGAUAAUCCAUUUUUUUUAAAAAAAAAUUGCCUCGGUGUGUUAAAAUUAAAUUGAGAUUGUUAUAUUGGUUCAUGUACGCCCUCAUAGAUAUCUAUUUGUCAGUUAUACUCUUAGUUACCCCUUUACACGGACUGAAUAUCAGUAUAAGGUUCUGUUUCAAGCUAAUUACCUGAAGGUGGGGACAUGACCUUUUAAUUAAACCAGUGUUCUGAGUUUUUUUUGGAGAUCCAUCCCGUGUACUGCUUCCUUCCUCUCGGAAUUUCCUUUGCUCCUCUCCUAUAUGGCGAUAUUUUGGUUUCCCAGUGGCUGCUUCUCAGCUUCUUCCCGCCGAGAAGGCAUGUGGAGCAGGUGUACGCAUGUUUUUUUUUAGCACCUUCACCUUCCGUUUACUUCUUCUUUGCGGCUGCUUCUCAACUUCUUUUUGUUUUUUGUGGUUGGUACAUUUUCAUUUGUCAUAGAGAUUAUGUACAGUUUAUUGCUUUAGUUUUCCUGAAAUCAUCCUUCUAAUUGUUGAGAAGUGUUCUGCAGCUAUGUUCCUUUUCCUUUUCUUAUUUAAAGAUCUGUCCUUUAUCCUUUUGAUUUGAAGACGUUUUAUUCAUCCCUAUAUAUAUUGUGAUAUAUUUUGUUCUAUACAGAUUUCCCUGUUCUCCUGAAGCAUUUAUACUGCUUUGUUCACCUCCCUAUAUACAAUUCUUCUUCUAUAUUUAAUCACGGACAAUUCUUCUUCUAUAUUUAAUCACGGUGAAAGUAAGGUACUGAUUCAUUUUUUAAUGCACAAUAAUUUUGUAGAAGUUCUUCAUUCAGAUUUUGUUCCAGUUAAAUAUGAAAUAUAUAGCAUGAUGUACUUUAGUUUAUACUAGAUUAGAGCUCUACUGCGAUAUACUUAUGCUGAUAGAUCAGGCUGGUCCUUUGUGAUGUGAAGUCCUUGUAGCCAUUCUCCUUAAACAUUUAUUUUUUACUUUUCUCGUUUUCAGUGUUACCAAAGGCUUCACUUUUAAUCACACUUGAAUUAAGCUAUUUGUUAGUCUAUCGAAGUAUAGUUAUUUUAUAUAACUUUCUUAAUCAUGCAAUUAAACAUUUUAGCAUUAGGUUAGUGGAAGAUCUUACUUUGUCCUAGUUCGUAGGUACACUUGAAAUUUUUUCAUUUCUAUUAAUUUUUGAGUUUCAUGGAAAUAUUGUGUUGUCCUUCUGUUAUAGCUAUCUUGUUAUUUUUAUAUAUUAUUAAUUCAUGGUAAUAGUAUUAUUUUUAGUUACACUUCCUCUUAAUGAAAACCGGGCUGAACCCCCAAUAUAGAAACUAAAAUUUUAGUUACACUUCGUACUUAGCAUUUACAUCACUAGUAAUUGUAUGAUAUCCUUUUAUAACAAAAGAUUUCUACAUUGAUAGUUAUUUAUUUGUACUCUAUUUCUAUUGAAAGGAAGCUUGAAAUGAACCUGUUUGCUUCGCCAAAAAAUUAUUAAAUUAAUUCUUGGCCAUGCACAAACAAUCCUUUUAUGGUAUCUAGUUAGAUAUCUGAAUCUAACCAGCACAGUAGAAUUACUUUCCGGAUUCAGUUUCCGAAGUACAACAGUCUUUUGGUAAGCUAUGCAUGUUGCUUGCUUAGUAUACAUGUUAUUUUGGUGCUGCCGCUUUCUUGCUCUAGCACCCUAAGAUGAAAUACAUGGUUUACUGUUGCUUACAGCAUGUGAUCAUCUGUCAUUGCAGCUUUAAUUCCGAAUUAUCCUCGUGGUUCCUGUGUUGUUCUAUAAGCGCUUAUAUGUCAGUGUAAUCAUAGGCACAACCAAACUUACAUGUACAGAAACAAAUCUGAAAAAAUGUUAGCAUCUACUCAUGUUUUAGGACCAUGUUGCAAUUUGUGAUAUUGCAGGCAGCAUAGUUUGCAUAAUAUAUAGACAUUUCCUCAUUCCACAGUCUGGAGUUCCAUAGAUUUGAAAUAGUUUGAUUUUUUUUAAGGAACAAUUUGAAAUUGUUUAAUUUAAUGCAUAUUCUUCACAGGUUUGGAGUUGCACGAUGUGAAUAUUUGUGGCAACUGCCUCUACUGUCUUCAGUUGAUGGCUUGACACCCACGAUUUCUCCUUAGUUUGCUAAGUUGCCUAAUCUUACUUACAUAUAUACUGAAUUUGUGCAUUAAGAUGUAUGCACCAUUAAGCUUAAAAAAGUUUAACCGGCAAGAAAAUUAUAUGCGACACUUAUUUGGGACAAAGGGAGUAUUUUAGAACAUCACAUCAAUACUAUCUAUGAGCUCAAUAUACUCUCUCUGUUCCUCUCUCUGUUCCAAAAUAAGUACACAUCGCGCCUUCGAGAAGCCAAAUAAAUCUUAGGUUUAACUUGAUUUAUAAAUAAUAAUAAUAAUAUUUGUACCUCUAAAAAGAUUAGCAAAAACAUAUAUGAUUGAUUAAUCUAAUGGUAAUUAUUUGAUAUUACAAAUUGUAGUAUUUUUUAUGUAGAUUUAGUCAAACUUAAGUUUGUUCGACUCCUAGAAGUACGAGAUAUACAUUUAUUUUGGUACGGUAAGUGUACUCCAUCCGUCCUAAAAUAAAUGUUGUUCUCGCUUUCUCAGAAAUGAUUUUAACUUUAAUCAAAUAUAUAUAAUAGUAGUAAACUAAUAACAACAAUAGUACAUAAUUAGUAUGAAGAUAAUUUAUUCUAUUUUUACAAUAGACUUAAUUAGAAAUACAAAUGUUGCUAAUAUUUUUAUAAAUCAAUCGAACUUAAAAUGGUUUAACCGACAUAAAAACCAAUACUUAUUUUAGGAUAGAGGGAGUAUUUUAGAACAUCAACCGGUACCAUCCAUGAGUUUACUGUACUCCCUCUUCCAAAAUAAGUACACAUCACGCACUUCGAGAAGUUAAACAAAUCUCAAGUAUAAUUAGAUUUAUAAAAAAUAAUAUUCACAUUUGUACCUCUAAAUACGAUUAGUACAAAAAUGUAUAAUAUGAUUAACCUAAUGAUAAUUAUUUGCUAUUAGAAAUCUUAGUAUUUUUUAUGAAGAUUUGGUCAAAUUUAAGUUUGUUUGACUCCUAGAAUAUGAGAUAUGUAUUUAUUUUCGUAUGGUAGGUGUACUCCAUCUGUCCCAAAAUAAGUGUCGUUCUCGCUUCUCGAGAAGCCAAAUGUUUUUUAACAUUGGCCAACUAUAUAAGAAAAUAUUAAUGAUUAUAGUACAUAAUUAUCUAUUUUUAUAAUAAAAUUAAUUGAAGAUACAAAUGUUGCUAAUAUUUUUUUAAAAUCUAGUCAAAUUUAGAAAAAGUUUAACUGGCACAAAAGCUAUAACAACAUUUAUUUUGGGACAAAGGAGGUAUUUUAGAACAUCAACCGGUACCAUCCAUGAGCUCAUUGUACUCGUUUCAAAAUAAGUACAUAUCGCACACUUUCUGAAGCCAAACAAAUCUUAAAGUUUAACAAGAUUUAUAGAAAAUAAUAUUAAUAUUUGUAUCUCUAAACAAGAUUAGUAAUAAAAUAUAUGAUAUGAUUAAUGUAAUGAUAACUAUUUAAUAUUAUAAAUCUUAGUUUUUUAUAUAGAUUUGGUCAAACUUAAGUUUGUUUGACUUCUAAAAGUAUGAGAUGGGCAUUUAUUUUGGCAUCUUAGGUGUACUCUAUCCGUCUCAAAAUAAGUAUCAUUUUUGUUUUUCGAGGAGUCAAAUGUUUUUAAUUUGAUCAAAUAUAUAAGAAAAUAUUAAUAAUUAUAUUACAUAAUUAGUAUCAUUAGAUAGAUCAUUGGAUAUAUUUUCAUAAUAAAAUUAGUUGGAGAUAAAGUUAUUUUAUAUUUUAUAUGCUCUAUAUAUGUGUCUAAAUAUUUGAUGUGAUAGGACAAAAAGUUUCUGGUGGGAACUAAAUAAGGCAUGAGUUAAAGGCGCAAUGGUAAUACUUGAGAAUGUUCCAGAAUCAUACCUCUAUAUGAAAAUCCUCAAGGAAGUGUUACCAUAUCACAGUUUUCUAGAUGUGAACACAAAUUUAUCAAAAUUGGAACAUUGAUGGUAAAACAGGAACAAUAAACUGAUCAUGUCAAACUGUAAUGUUCAUUGGUUCUUUGACAUCCAAUUUAUACACAUGAAUUUUUGGUUUCCCUUUUUGCAGGUUUUUAUCAAUGACAAGGCAGGAUUUAUUGAACAUGUAUGCAGAGGAUAUGGUCUUCCGUCGUGAAUCUUCCAAACCAGAUUUUCUGCUAGAAGAACGUUAAUGGGACAAACAAAAGAAUCUUAAGUUCAAAGACCUUGCUCUAAAGGAGAAAUCAUGGAGUUCCCAUAGGAUUUUUGCACAAAUGUAAACCUGCACUAGAAAUGUGCUCGUUAUUUUUUCACUAGCCAUAUCCUCUCGUGUCCGUUGUCAUUUAAAAUUUUUAUUUUUUCAAGAGUUAUCAUGUUUUGACGUGAUAAUUGUACAACUGGAAUCACUUCUUACAUUUUCAAGAGAGUCCAUAUCAUCUCAGCAUUACUGUUAUUUGCAUAAUUAUAUUUCCAUGGAUUCUUCGACAAAUAUGAUAAUGUUGUCUCUCUUCGAAGUUAUAAUUGUU
rnacentral:lncRNA from 1 species